rnacentral:rRNA from 1 species
UACGAAGGGGGCUAGCGUUGCUCGGAAUUACUGGGCGUAAAGCGCGUGUAGGCGGCCUGUUAAGUCUGACGUGAAAUCCCUGGGCUCAACCCAGGAACUGCAUCGGAAACUGACAGGCUAGAGUCCGGGAGAGGGUAGCGGAAUUCCUGGUGUAGAGGUGAAAUUCGUAGAUAUCAGGAGGAACACCGGUGGCGAAGGCGGCUACCUGGACCGGUACUGACGCUGAGACGCGAAAGCGUGGGGAGCAAACAGG